rnacentral:rRNA from 1 species
GCGCGCGGGGGCAUCAAACGUGCAGUCGACGCUUCUUUUUCCCCGGAGCUUGCUCCACCGGAAAAAGAAGAGUGGCGAACGGGUGAGUAACACGUGGGUAACCUGCCCAUCAGAAGGGGAUAACACUUGGAAACAGGUGCUAAUACCGUAUAACAAUCAAAACCGCAUGGUUUUGAUUUGAAAGGCGCUUUCGGGUGUCGCUGAUGGAUGGACCCGCGGUGCAUUAGCUAGUUGGUGAGGUAACGGCUCACCAAGGCCACGAUGCAUAGCCGACCUGAGAGGGUGAUCGGCCACAUUGGGACUGAGACACGGCCCAAACUCCUACGGGAGGCAGCAGUAGGGAAUCUUCGGCAAUGGACGAAAGUCUGACCGAGCAACGCCGCGUGAGUGAAGAAGGUUUUCGGAUCGUAAAACUCUGUUGUUAGAGAAGAACAAGGAUGAGAGUAACUGUUCAUCCCUUGACGGUAUCUAACCAGAAAGCCACGGCUAACUACGUGCCAGCAGCCGCGGUAAUACGUAGGUGGCAAGCGUUGUCCGGAUUUAUUGGGCGUAAAGCGAGCGCAGGCGGUUUCUUAAGUCUGAUGUGAAAGCCCCCGGCUCAACCGGGGAGGGUCAUUGGAAACUGGGAGACUUGAGUGCAGAAGAGGAGAGUGGAAUUCCAUGUGUAGCGGUGAAAUGCGUAGAUAUAUGGAGGAACACCAGUGGCGAAGGCGGCUCUCUGGUCUGUAACUGACGCUGAGGCUCGAAAGCGUGGGGAGCAAACAGGAUUAGAUACCCUGGUAGUCCACGCCGUAAACGAUGAGUGCUAAGUGUUGGAGGGUUUCCGCCCUUCAGUGCUGCAGCUAACGCAUUAAGCACUCCGCCUGGGGAGUACGACCGCAAGGUUGAAACUCAAAGGAAUUGACGGGGGCCCGCACAAGCGGUGGAGCAUGUGGUUUAAUUCGAAGCAACGCGAAGAACCUUACCAGGUCUUGACAUCCUUUGACCACUCUAGAGAUAGAGCUUCCCCUUCGGGGGCAAAGUGACAGGUGGUGCAUGGUUGUCGUCAGCUCGUGUCGUGAGAUGUUGGGGUUAAGUCCCGCAACGAGCGCACCCCUUAUUGUUAGUUGCCAUCAUUCAGUUGGGCACUCUAACAAGACUGCCGGUGACAAACCGGAGGAAAGGGGGGGGGUGAAGUCCAAAUCAUCAUUGCCCCCUUAUAGACCGGGGCGUACCACCUUGGUCCCAAAGGGGAAUAAACAACAAGUUUGGGAAAUUCCCCAA